rnacentral:lncRNA from 1 species
CCCACUCAUUCUCUUUUUCUCUCUCAGCACCUUAAUCCUAGCCGCCCUAAGCUCCCUCAGAACCCUAGCCGCUACAGCAUGAUCACCACCAGCAACGACCCCAACCCCUUCCAAAUUGACACCCUAUACUCCCCAUCCUCCCCUCUCCUCAAACCCCAUAACCAUUUCCUUAAAAUCCCCAUCUAUUUUCUCUAAUUGCAUAUAUGAAAUUUUGAAUAAAAAAACUUAAAACCUUCCUUUUCCUGAUUACUCCUUGACCCCGACCCGUUUGAACUCAAAACCUACAUCAAUCGAUUGCUCUUGCUGAGAGCAAUCGAGUGAUGUUAGUCUCAGUUCAUCCUACGGCCAUCGUAGUUUGUUCGGUCUAUCAGAGUUUGGUCGGAGUUUUAUCGUUUCUCCUUCGAGGGCCAGUAGGUAAUUAUUCUGCUUUUCUUCUUCUUUUUUCGUGUUUAUCUUUCAGCCAAACAACCUUUCUAUUCCUUCUCGAAUUCCUCUUCAGAUUGUUUUCCCUAUUGAUUAAGAGGCUUAAUUAUUUAUUAAGUUAGUAUAAACAUAUAACAAUUAGUUUAAUCGAUUUCAGUUUAGCUCGGACAAAUGGGUUAGUUUACUUGUUAAAUUAGGCGUUGGUCUUGUUUUGUUUCUGAUUUUGCAUGAUUUACUUGCCAUUUAAUUGCAUGAUUCUUUUGUUUUUUUAAGUUUAAUUGCAUGUUUGGAUUAAUUUAUUCAACCUUAAUUAGUUUAGUAAUCUAGUUUGGGUGUGUUAGUCGAUUGUUUCUGCUUCAUUAUGAUCUGUGAUAGCUUGAUUGCCAAUUGGAAUUAAAAAGGGUCGGAAAUGGUAAUUUUGAAAGUCUUAAAAGGGUAAUUGGAAAACCAAAAUAAGGGACUCUAAUGUUAAAAUUCCCUAGUUGAUUCUAGAAGGUUCUAGAAGGGUUUAAUGGGUAGUUAAAGAUCAUAAUUUAGGGUAUAUUAAAAUAAUCAGUACUUGAAAGGUUAAAAUUGGAUUGAUAAAUGAGGAAAAUAUCAGAAUGUUCUAGUAUGGGACAACUGUCCCAAUUUCUAGUAUGAAAAAUACUAGAAUUGGGCUAAAAAAGGACAGACAACUGUCCAAAUAUGCUGUACUAUCUGACACUUAGGGAAUUUAGGGUAGAAUAUGCAUUUUUUAUGUUGUUUUAGCAUACCCUAUAAAAGGAACAGUUAUUCUCUCAUUCUAGACAGAUGAUCAUUAGCAAUUGAGACCCUGAAAAGACCUCUGAAAAAAUCCAGCUCCAUUGUUCUUCUACUUCUCUGUUUUUUCAUUAAAGUUUGGAACAAUUUUCCUUCGGAUUUUUGAUUGUUCAAGCUAAAAAAUGACUUGAUUCUGAAGCCUUGUUGCUUGAUAUUGCUGUUGUUUUACUGUGAUUUCCUGCUGGUCUUUUGUUGUUCUUAGAGAUUCACUGCUUUGUUUUUGCUCUUUGUCACCAGGUAUCUCUUGGACUUUGAGUGACCAUUGAAAUGCAAGCAUGCUCUUUUUCUUUGAAAGAUGUAUUUGUAAUAUGAAGUUAAUGUUCAAACGUUGAAUCUCAAUUUUCUUUUUACAUGUAGUUCUUUCAAGUUAUUUAGCUUUAUAGUUUUCUCAACGUUUUUGUAUAAGUGUCUUGGGUCUGCUUGAUAGUCAGUAGCUUGGUGGAGAAUUCCAGUAUUGAAUAUUCUGAAUAGUUCAUCUUUCAUAUGUUGGAUUUAUUUGGAAGUUUCAGGAUAAGUAUGUAAUAUCAUUAGCUCAUUUUUAUUAAAAGGUGU